rnacentral:rRNA from 1 species
ACGGAAGGCAGCAGUGGGGAAUAUUGCACAAUGGGGGAAACCCUGAUGCAGCAACGCCGCGUGAGUGAAGAAGUAUUUCGGUAUGUAAAGCUCUAUCAGCAGGGAAGAAAAUGACGGUACCUGACUAAGAAGCCCCGGCUAACUACGUGCCAGCAGCCGCGGUAAUACGUAGGGGGCAAGCGUUAUCCGGAUUUACUGGGUGUAAAGGGAGCGUAGACGGCGAAGCAAGUCUGAAGUGAAAGCCCACGGCUCAACCGUGGAACUGCUUUGGAAACUGUUUUGCUAGAGUGCAGGAGGGGCAGGCGGAAUUCCUAGUGUAGCGGUGAAAUGCGUAGAUAUUAGGAGGAACACCGGUGGCGAAGGCGGCCUGCUGGACUGUAACUGACGUUGAGGCUCGAAAGCGUGGGGAGCAAACAGGAUUAGAUACCCUGGUA